UGGGUAAUACCAAAAAAAGAACUACAUAAC
rnacentral:piRNA from 1 species